rnacentral:rRNA from 1 species
AGCGAGAGAGUUCUUCGGAACAAUCUAGCGGCGGACGGGUGAGUAACACGUGGGCAACCUGCCUCAUAGAGGGGAAUAGCCUCCCGAAAGGGAGAUUAAUACCGCAUAACAUCAUUGGAGGGCAUCUUCCGAUGAUCAAAGGAGCAAUCCGCUAUGAGAUGGGCCCGCGGCGCAUUAGCUAGUUGGUAAGGUAACGGCUUACCAAGGCGACGAUCAGUAGCCGACCUGAGAGGGUGAUCGGCCACAUUGGAACUGAGACACGGUCCAAACUCCUACGGGAGGCAGCAGUGGGGAAUAUUGCACAAUGGGCGAAAGCCUGAUGCAGCAACGCCGCGUGAGCGAUGAAGGCCUUCGGGUCGUAAAGCUCUGUCCUCAAGGAAGAUAAUGACGGUACUUGAGGAGGAAGCCCCGGCUAACUACGUGCCAGCAGCCGCGGUAAUACGUAGGGGGCUAGCGUUAUCCGGAUUUACUGGGCGUAAAGGGUGCGUAGGUGGUUUCUUAAGUCAGGAGUGAAAGGCUACGGCUCAACCGUAGUAAGCUCUUGAAACUGGGAAACUUGAGUGCAGGAGAGGAAAGUGGAAUUCCUAGUGUAGCGGUGAAAUGCGUAGAUAUUAGGAGGAACACCAGUAGCGAAGGCGGCUUUCUGGACUGUAACUGACACUGAGGCACGAAAGCGUGGGGAGCAAACAGGAUUAGAUACCCUGGUAGUCCACGCCGUAAACGAUGAGUACUAGGUGUCGGGGGUUACCCCCCUCGGUGCCGCAGCUAACGCAUUAAGUACUCCGCCUGGGGAGUACGCUC